GUGGGGAAUAUUGGGCAAUGGGGGAAACCCUGACCCAGCGACGCCGCGUGAGGGAAGAAGGCCUUAGGGUCGUAAACCUCUGUUGUGUGGGAAGAAGAGCGUGACGGUACCACACGAGGAAGUCCCGGCUAACUACGUGCCAGCAGCCGCGGUAAUACGUAGGGGACGAGCGUUGUCCGGAUUUACUGGGCGUAAAGGGCGCGUAGGCGGUCAUUUAAGUCAGCUGUGAAAUGGUGCGGCUUAACCGCAUCAUGCGGUUGAAACUGGAUGACUGGAGUGCUGGAGAGGCAAGUGGAAUUCCCAGUGUAGCGGUGAAAUGCGUAGAUAUUGGGAAGAACACCGGUGGCGAAGGCGACUUGCUGGCCAGCAACUGACGCUGAGGCGCGAAAGCCAGGGGAGCAAACGGGAUUAGAAACCCGUGUAGUCC
rnacentral:rRNA from 1 species